GUUUCAAAGUCCAGGCAUUAAAACAAUUUUACACUAUUUGCGUACUAGAAAAAAUGGAAAAUAAAAAGUCGAGAUAAAAACAAAGAAAUAAAAGAACAUUUGAGAAAUUAUUGCCUUGAUUCAUCAUGUUGAAUUUAUACACAGAACUACUUUAAGAGUCAGAAAUUGAUAUUUAGUCCAAUGCUAGAAUAUGACAUUAUAACAUUUUCCACAUUUGUAAUCCUAUAUGUGUGUGUAUGUAUGAGCAACAUGUACACACCUAAAUAAAUUAGGCCAGUGAUAUUCUAAAACAGAAAAAAAACUGAAGGCAAAUUCUAACCUGAAGUUAUAUAGCCUAAUAUAGCCAAAACACACAAACACACACAUUUCAUUAUUUAGAGACUAGGUAAGCAAUCUGUGGAGGGGGUCAAAUAAUCUUAGUUCCUUUAUAAAAGUGGUUCCCAACAUUUUCACCAUAAGAAUCCCUUCAUUAUUCUUUUCCCAUGUUCCCAAGUAUUUAAUAAGUUGCACAUAAUAGGAUUUCUUAUUUUAUUAUUAAUCAAAAACAUACUGCCAUUCACAGCUUUUGAGAGAAUAUAGGCAAAAUGAAUGGAAAUUCAAUGUCUUAAUUGACUUGUGAAGCAGGAAUAUUAUGGGUAAAUGUAUAAUUUCUAAUAUACUUUUUGAAAUAUUACAAAAAGCUCAAGGAUACCCUCCACUGCUAUCAUCUGCUGAAGUUGGGAAUCACUGAUUUACAUCCACCUGCUUUUCCUCCCUAAGUAUGUAUUAACAUAAUACAAUUACCCACGUUUAACACAUAGGAGAUUAAUAACAAAAUUUACUAUUAAAACAAUAGACCAAGUGCAAUAGUCAUUCUGUAGGACCUGACUGAAAAAGAAAACAUAGCAUGGAUUUAAAGAAAUCUAUUUAGAAAUUAUAUAAUUAUGAUAUCCAGUAUAUCUUUCAGUCAACUUCAAAGCACACUAAUAUAUGAAAAUAUCCUCAAUUCCCCUGUGAGGUAGGUCCAGAUUAUUGUCCCCACUUCGACAAUGAGGACGUGAGGUACAGAGGAAUUAAGCAGCAGAGCCAAUAAUUAAACCAGAAGUGACUUGUAUUUGAGUCCCAUACCACUUUCCUUUCCACCUAAUUUUAUCAAUUUGUUCCAACAGAUCUUUUUGAGGGUAUGGAAUUUGAUUAGACACUAAAGUAAAUGUUGGAUAGGAUAUGAAAUCUUUACAUAAAUGCCAAAGUGGGUCCUCCAAUAUUUCCAUUGUUGUUACAGCUAAAAUUCUUGCCUGAAUACCAACUGCAUAGACAGAUUCUACACAGGCAAAGGACACAGACCUCAGUGCUCAGUUCCUAGGAAAACUACAUUUACUCUUAGCAUCACCAAGGAACUAAGGUCUAGCAAGCAUCAGGUUCUUGGAGUCUGUGUGAUAAUUAACACGUCAGCCAGUCGGCAAAUCAAACUUUUACUGCAUGCAAGGCACUGUGAGAGUUUCCACCAAGGACAGUAGAUCUGAGAAUAAUUUGUUCAAAGGCUUACACGUUUUUAAACUUUAUUCAAAUUUCAUCAAAAAUGGUAGAUAAAACAGUUUGAUUGCUCAGAUAUUA
rnacentral:lncRNA from 10 species